rnacentral:rRNA from 1 species
AGAGUUUGAUCAUGGCUCAGAACGAACGCUGGCGGCGUGCUUAACACAUGCAAGUCGCGUGCGCAGUCCGUAGCAAUACGGAUGGGCGCACGGCGCACGGGUGCGUAACACGUGGGCAAUCUGCCCUCUGAUGGGGAAUAACCCGCCGAAAGGCGGGCUAAUUCCGCAUAAGAUUCCCGGGGCUUCGGUCCUGGGAUUGAAAGCAGUAAUGCGUCGGAGGAGGAGCCCGCGCCCGAUUAGCUAGUUGGUGAGGUAAUGGCUCACCAAGGCUAUGAUCGUUAGCUGGUCUGAGAGGAUGGCCAGCCACACUGGAACUGAGACACGGUCCAGACUCCUACGGGAGGCAGCAGUGGGGAAUCUUGCACAAUGGGCGAAAGCCUGAUGCAGCGACGCCGCGUGGGGGAUGAAGCUUCUCGGAGUGUAAACCCCUUUCGACCCGGACGAAUACCUCGCAAGAGGGGUGACGGUACGGGUAUAAGAAGCCCCGGCUAACUACGUGCCAGCAGCCGCGGUAAGACGUAGGGGGCCAGCGUUGUUCGGAAUUACUGGGUGUAAAGGGUUCGUAGGCGGUGUGGCAAGUCGGGAGUGAAAUCUCUGGGCUCAACCCAGAGUCUGCUUCCGAAACUGCUGUGCUUGAGUGUGGGAGAGGCGCGUGGAAUUGCAGGUGUAGCGGUGAAAUGCGUAGAUAUCUGCAGGAACACCCGUGGCGAAGGCGGCGCGCUGGACCACUACUGACGCUGAGGAACGAAAGCUAGGGGAGCAAACAGGAUUAGAUACCCUAGUAGUCC